CCUACGGGUGGCUGCAGUGAGGAAUAUUGGUCAAUGGGCGCGAGCCUGAACCAGCCAAGUCGCGUGAAGGAUGACUGCCCUACGGGUUGUAAACCUCUUUUAUAAAGGAAUAAAGUGAGGCACGUGUGCCUUUUUGUAUGUACUUUAUGAAUAAGGAUCGGCUAACUCCGUGCCAGCAGCCGCGGUAAUACGGAGGAUCCGAGCGUUAUCCGGAUUUAUUGGGUUUAAAGGGAGCGUAGAGGGGUUGUUAAGUCAGUUGUGAAAGUUUGCGGCUCAACCGCAAAAGUGCAGUUGAUACUGGCAGCCUUGAGUACAGUUGAGGUAGGCGGAAUGCGUGGUGUAGCGGUGAAAUGCAUAGAUAUCGCGAAGAACUCCGAUUGCGAAGGCAGCUUACUAAACUGCCACUGACACUGAGGCUCGAAAGUGUGGGUAUCGAACAGGAUUAGAUACCCGGGUAGUC
rnacentral:rRNA from 1 species